rnacentral:rRNA from 1 species
GUCUUUUAAUUGAAGUCCGGUAUGAACGGUUGGAUGAGGAAUUUACUUUCUUUAUUUUAAAAAUUAAAUUUAAUUUUUGAGUCAAAAAGCUUAAGUUUAUUUAAAGGACGAGAAGACCCUAUAGAACUUUACUUUUCUUUUUAUAGGUUUAUUUUUUGUAAGUAAUUUUUUACUAUUUUGGGAAAAGUUUUAUUGGGGUGAUAAAAAAAAAUUUUUAACUUUUUUUAUUUUUCUCAUUUAUUUAUGAUUUUUUGAUCCUUUAUUAUGGAUAAUAAGAUUAAGUUACCUUAGGGAUAACAGCGUUAUUAUUUUAGAGAGUUCAUAUCGAUAAAAUAGUUUGCGACCUCGAUGUUGGAUUAAAAUUAGUGUCAGGUGCAGAAUAUUGAUUACUGGGUCUGUUCGACCCUUAAUUUUUUACA